AAGCAAUACCCGCUCAUUAAAGAAAUGGAAAAGAAGAGAAACUCGUUAGGAAGUGACUGCUAAUCCCCACCACUCACACACAAACACUGCAUCUAUCUGCCUUGAUUUUUGAAACCUGUUUGCGAAGUCUUUGUGCAUUAUUUUCGUGGGUUUUGAAUAGCUGGAAAUGAGGACUUUCUCCGUCUGUUCUGGAAAUGCGACAUUCUUCCAUGGUUACUUAAGCCUGAACUAUUUCAGCCGAGUUAAACUUUGACCAACCCAGGUGACUAGUUUAUAGGUCUUGAAACCGUGUGGAAGACUUUGUAUCAGCAGAGACCACACACCCCGAAUUCCUGGACCGGGUCUGGUGUUUUCCUUCCCCAAGUAUUUCAGACGCAUUCUUCUCAUUUGAAAGCCGUGCGUCUUACUCAACAACCUCUCUAUCUAAACUAUGUUAAAGACACAUAGAAAAGAGAUGACAUCACGGGGGCCGCUUCUGUUCUUGCAGCCCCGUCUGUGUUCAGCUAAAGUGGAGCGGCCGUAGUGAGUCAUGCCGUCUUGUGACCAGCCGGGCACUUUUCCAAUCCAAGCGACUGUUAAGAUCUCUGACAGCAGAACCUGUCCUUGUUUGAAGAGCAGAUACCAACGAUGAAAGGGAUUGUCCAAGAAAUGACAGUCUCACAGGUAAGUCAUGGCUCCUUCAGGUCAUAGCUGGUGAGUCUUUUAAAACACGCCUGACGGUAACUCCCUCUUGGCAGUGACGAGGUCUGGGACAAAGCGAGUUUCUUCUUCGCGAAACAGUGUCACACCUUCAAAGCCAGGUCCACCUUUAUCCUUAACCGUGGCCGCAUCGCUGAUUUCCGUCGCUCUUCAGGAGAAGGAGCUCUUGCACAAUCAGACGUCAGGAUGAUUGAAAAUGUCCCAUUAAUUGAGUGCGAGUCAACGUCCACUUUCCUUUUUCUUGUCCCCCAGGCACGUUUUGCUGGUGAAGCUGCGGCUCUUGCCCUGGACAUCGGAGUGGAACCUCAUGGGCGAGGGGUGGAUACCCCUCCGUGUGGACAGAUGGCCCGGUUCCGUGGGGCUGUGGGACUUCCAGCCAAGUCACGUCGACUUGAACUGACUGGUGGGGGUCAGGGGGGAGAGGCUGCCGUCCUGGGAAACCUGGAGACUGCCUCUCCCUGACGGCCUGUAAUCUCCUGGGCUUUGCAAUCAGGCUGCCUUUACAGAUGCAUUUCUCAAAGCCAGAGCCAGCUUGUUUGCCCGGAGGAAAGAAUUCACUGAACAGCCACAGACUGCAUUCCAGAACGUUAGCCAACCACUUUGCAAAAGUGUCCUGUUGGGUCAGGGCACGGCCUGCCGCCACUCCUGGCAAAGAGACUCCAAAUGCCUGCCCGUGGGACAGAGGUCUCGUUGCAGGAUGUCAGUUCAGGCGCUCAUGGGAAGACUUCGCUGGAGCACAAGGCGAUGAUGGUGUUGCUAAGAUGUCUGAGAGAAAAUGCCAAAGCAGAGCCCAGAGAGGUUGGUGCAGGCUCCCCGGGUCCCUCGGAAGUGGGGCUGGGCCUCAGAGGAUGUGCGUGAGCUGCCGGCCAAGGUGUGUGUCCCCCCUGGCUUAUCGGCCGAAGGGGCUGAACGGAGGGGGAGCCAGGGCCUCGUCUUGGCGCCUGGAAGCCCAGUGCGGCCAGACUUGGGGAUGGAGCCUCCAAGGAGGUGGCGGAGGUUGAAUGAGGUCAUGGGAGGGAUCCCGCAUCUGAUAGAGAGAACCCCAUUCUCUCUCUGCUGUCUCCGUCUCUCUUCCUCAUGAGGACACAGUGAGAAGCCAGCCGUCCACAGACCAGGAAAGACCUCUCACAGGAACUUGCCCGUGCAGCUCCCUGAUCUUGAUGCCCAGCCUCCAGAACUAUGAGAAAUAAAAUCCUGCUGUUUGGAGUUCCCGUUGUGGCUCAGGGGUCAUGAACCCAA